AAAGGCUUUUUUUUUUUUUUUGGUUUAAAAACCCCCCAAAAAAAGAAAAAAAAAAAAAACUGAUGAAUUCGA
rnacentral:ribozyme from 11 species